UAUCAAUAUUAAUUUGAUAUAAUUUCUCAUUGUAGCUGUUUAUCAUUCAUUUUUUUGUUAUCUAUUGACUAUACCGUUGGAUUGUGUAAAAGCUGGAAGAUAUAUAACAUAUAUAAUUUCUAUGUUAAUUGUAUUUCCGUGUAUUGGCAGGUAUUCUUUUUGGUAGUAAAAUGUUGUUUAAAAUGAAGUUAUGAAUGGACAAAUAUAGUAAUAGAGUAUUUUAAAAUGUUUCUUCAGGAUGUUGUGUUCUGGUUUGCGAUCUUUAACAUUCAGUGGUUAUCCCACACCAAACGUUCUUCCUUUGAGUUGCAGCAUCUUGCAUUUUAAACAAAAGAACCUGUUGUUCUAUGUAUUUUUUGUUAUUGACAUAACAAACUGUUCUUCCUAUCAUUCCCACUUGUUGCAUUUUAACUUUAAUUUUUUUAUUCUAUGGUUUUUUUAUAUGCUUUUAUAUUACUACCUUUCAAGUUUGUCCACAUUUUAAAGACAUUAUCGUUCCUGAAAUGCCAGCCUUUUAUUUUGUAGGUAAUUUUUGAGGAUUGAUGUUUCUUCUAGAGACAUGCAAUGAAUUUUUUUGUCAGUUAGUUCGUUAGUGCGACUUUCUUAUGUUUGUUGUGUCGUACACUUGCACAUUCAGUAGUUCUGCUUCGGUUCAACGUAUUAUUUUGCACACUGACCAUCUGGCUUAUUUCAGUCUUUAUUCCAAUUGUUAUUAUUUCUGAUGGUUCUAAUUGUUUAAUUAUGUCUCAACUUUUGAGUCUUGAUAUUAUUUUAUUAAUUGUUUUAACUGUUUUUUUUUUCCCCCAGGUUCGCCUCAAAUUUCACUUUUGUUUUUCUGACAAAUUUGAUCUAAUUUCAAUCAAAACAAGUCUGUAUAAUAUCAAUUCUUUUAUUUGAGUGCUGCGGAUUGUAGCUUUUACUUGGAUAUACUUCCGACCCGCA
rnacentral:lncRNA from 1 species